GCGUUGGAUUGUUUCCGCCCUCUACCGUGACGUGAGAGUCUUAGGAUGGGAGAUGUUACAGAACCAGCAGGGGAAAUCCAGAUGGGUGAUCUUCCACCAGAGAUAGAGAUAGCCCUCAUCUCUACACCUCUGCCAUAACU